AGUUUGUACCUUUCUGGCUGGAACUUCCUCACAAACACAUCCAUGGAGAUCUUCACCAUGUCCUUUCUACAGGAGCACUGUCCGCAGGAACCAGAAGAGCACCAUGAAGAAAUCAAGCAGACUUACCAGCACAGCUUGCUUGCCAUACUCAAUCCACCGACGGGUAGCAAAAUUGGUAGACUCCGCACAGUUAAAACCAUGGUUAAAGCCGGCAUGGUAACCAUAAGGGAAAGUGAUCAUAAACUCUCCAGCCUCUUGAGUCACCUGAACAAGAGCAGACUUGAAGCAGCUGCUUCAAAUGGCAGAAGUCCACAGAACUGGAAUUCUGAGCUCCACCACAACUUAGCUGAGUAACAAAGGAUUAUUCCACAGUAACAACAAAUCCUCCCACUGCAAACAGCUUCAUUAUAAAACAAAACAGAGAAGGAGAGUUGACAAAAAUGUCACCUAAAGGACUCCGGGAUCCAUCAGGC